rnacentral:rRNA from 1 species
AUGGAGUACCCAUUACUAAGCCACCAGCAAACUGAAAAUAGCAUGUGCGGUAUGUCCGCUAACCAGAAAGUUGCAAGUAUGGGGAAGCAAUCUUCACCUGAUGAUCCCGACAUGACUGCCCUUUCAGUUGAGCAAAAUAUGUCAGUCGGGCAGAGUGAUGGAGACACUAGUAGUGACAUAGUGGAUGAAGGGCUCUCUGCACCUGUGGAAGCCACUGGCAAUGCAGACUCUGCUGAACAAAACAAUCUGGUUGAAGAUAAUAGCCCUGAGAUUCGUGGCAGUCAUGACCUGUCACGCCCAAUAUGCGGCUAUACUCCAUACGUGUCGAGGCACGACUUGGGGCAUAAGCGCAUAUUGGUAUGA